GAUGAAGAACGUAGUGAAAUGCGAUAAGUAAUGUGAAUUGCAGAAUUCAGUGAAUCAUCGAAUCUUUGAACGCACAUUGCGCCCCCUGGUAUUCCGGGGGGCAUGCCUGUCCGAGCGUCAUUACAACCCUCAAGCUCAGCUUGGUAUUGGGCCCCGCCGCUCCGGCGGGCCCUAAAGUCAGUGGCGGUGCCGUCCGGCUCCGAGCGUAGUAAUUCUUCUCGCUCUGGAGGUCCGGUCGUGUGCUCGCCAGCAACCCCCAAUUUUUUUCAGGUUGACCUCGGAUCAGGUAGGGAUACCCGCUGAACUUAAGCAUAUCAAUAAGCGGAGGA
rnacentral:misc_RNA from 1 species